GUUGCCAGCCAGGGUGCAGGGAGGUCGUGCAGGCGCGUGCUCAGCACCCACAGGUUAACCUCCAUGCUGGGACUCCACACACAGCACCCAUUCCACCUCACACCAGCCUUGAAGGAAUAGAUCACAGUCCUCGUUUCACAAAAAUCAGAGAUCGGAAAGGUUGCCUGACGUGUCCAGGGUCACAUAGCAAAUAUGCUGCACAGCUGGGCUUCAAGUCCUGCCGGCCUCUGAAACCUUGUCUAAACCGGGGAGCUGAAAUGUGGCACAGGGCUUGGGGCCUUGAACCCUCACACAGCUGUCUCAGGGAGUCGCUCUGGGACUUCACGGAGCAGGAGGCACACAGAAAUGAGGCCACUCGGCCAUCCAGCAAGGCUGGAGCAGGGAUUUGACCCCACACCCUCCAAGGCCCUGUCCCUGCCACCAUGCUGCCUCUGCUGGCACUGAGAGGGAGGCCAAGUGCACCCAGGCCUGGGACUCCGGGAUGCUCAGCGAGAACCCACCUUUGCUUCUCUCAGGGGUGCCCCCUUCUUCCCAGAACUGCAGUAGAAUGUGGGAAGGAGACUGCGGGGGGAGGGGGGGAUCCCUUGCCAUCCCCCUGCCAGGGGAUCUGGGGCGAGUUUCUCCUUCUUUUAGAGUCUCCAUCCACAGUUACAGACAACUGGACUAGGUGAUCUCUAACCAGGCCUGAUUGUUUCCAGCUCAGAAAUACUGAGCUGGGGACUAGAGUCAUGGCUCAGUGGUAGAGCGCUUGCCUGGCAUGUGUGAGGCCUUGGGUUCCAUCCUCAGCACCACAAAUAAAUAAAUAAAUAAAUGAUCCAUUUAAAAAAAAUAAAUAAAAAGAAAAGAAAUACUGGGCUGAGUCAGGAGCAGGCCCAGCCUCAAGGCUGUUGGCUUUUGCCAAUUCAGGUGUUUGUCUGGAACACCCUAGCGACAAGGAAGGACUCAGGAGAGGGCAAGCCCAGGACUCCAGGAGGAAUUCCUCAGAGGAAAGGGCACUCACUGGUCUGAGAGUCAGAAACCAUUGUUGCUAGCCUUAUGUCUGCUGUGUAACUUUGGGUAUGUUGCUUGCCCUUUCUGGGCUUUAGUUUUCUCAUCAAGGAAAAUAGGGAAAUAUUCCCUGUUCCGUCUUCCCCUGGGAGGCUACUGUGAGCAGACAGCCAGAUGGGAAAGCACUUGUUCGGAAGCAAUAAAACCUCAACUCAUGUUGGCAAAUUAUUUUUCACCUCACUUUGUUCCCAAUUAAUUUGAGAAAUUUAGCUCUUGAUUAUGACAAUGAUUAGAAUUUCUGUGAAUCUCCUGGACAGAUCUACCUCCAGAGACCAGAGUAAGUGUCAGAUCACGAUAAUGAUAAUCACGAAUUGCCAUCUAUGUGCCAGACCCACACUGGCAAAGUGUGCCAGGACUGGUGAUACCCCCAUUCUGCAAAUAGGGAAACUGAGGCUCAGAACACUUAAAGAGUUUGCCCCCAUGGCCCAGCUAGGAGUCCCAUCCCGGUGUGUCCAGGUGUAAAACCCAGGCCCUAGACAGCGGCAGCACCACCUCUCAACCCCGGGCAGGCCCAUGUUCCCCCACUGCCCAAUAUAUGCCCCUGAGACAUUACCCCCGCCCCUGUGCCCAAGACUGCGCUGAAAGCAACAGUGUCCCCCUCCUGUGUGUGACCUCUGACCUCCCUCCCCGCACGCCCUGCCCCGCCUGGGCAGUGUCCCUCGUGUCCGCCUGCCUUCCCCGCUCUGACCCUGGCGCCUGCAGGUGCGACUGGUGAUCGCCGAGAAGGGCCUGGCAUGUGAGGAGCGGGACGUGAGCCUGCCGCAGAGCGAGCACAAGGAGCCCUGGUUCAUGCGGCUCAACCUGGGCGAGGAGGUGCCUGUCAUCAUCCACCGGGACAACAUCAUCAGCGACUACAACCAGAUUAUCGACUACGUAGAGCGCACCUUCACGGGAGAGCACGUGGUGGCCCUGAUGCCCGAGGUGGGCAGCCCGCAGCACGCACGGGUGCUGCAGUACCGGGAGCUGCUGGACGCGCUGCCCAUGGACGCCUACACGCAUGGCUGCAUCCUGCACCCUGAGCUCACCACCGACUCCAUGAUCCCCAAGUACGCCACGGCCGAGAUCCGCAGACAUCUAGCCAACGCCACCACGGACCUCAUGAAACUGGACCACGAAGAGGAGCCCCAGCUCUCGGAGCCCUACCUGUCUAAGCAGAAGAAGCUCAUGGCCAAGAUCCUGGAGCAUGAUGACGUGAGCUACCUGAAGAAGAUCCUCGGGGAGCUGGCCAUGGUGCUCGACCAGAUCGAGGCCGAGCUGGAGAAGAGGAAGCUGGAGAACGAGGGGCAGAAGUGUGAGCUGUGGCUCUGUGGCUGUGCCUUCACCCUUGCCGACGUGCUCCUGGGGGCCACCCUGCACCGCCUCAAGUUCCUGGGACUGUCUAAGAAGUACUGGGAGGACGGCAGCCGGCCCAACCUGCGGUCCUUCUUUGAGCGCGUCCAGAGACGCUUUGCCUUCCGGAAAGUCCUGGGCGACGUCCACACCACCCUGCUGUCGGCGGUCAUCCCCAACGCGUUCCGGCUGGUCAAGCGGAAGCCCCCAUCGUUCUUCGGGGCGUCCUUCCUCAUGGGCUCCCUGGGCGGGAUGGGCUACUUCGCCUACUGGUACCUCAAGAAAAAAUACAUCUAGAGCCGCCGGGGCUCGCCUGACUGUCGGUGUCUGUGCUGUGUGAUUCCCAAUGACCUCAGAAACCCACUGUCCCUCCAACACUGGACAGCACUUCCCGCCCCUCGUUCUGAGUAGUUCUGUCGUCGGUGUGAAAACAUUCCAUAGUUGUAGAAGUAGCCGUCGCCAAUGCUGUGACCUGAGGCCAUGGCUCUGCUAGAGAGAGAGAGAGAGAGAGAGAAACAAAACAGAAUGCCUUUUCUUUCGAUUCAAGGUCUCAACACGGAACUGUGGGGACUGGUUAGGAUCUGAGGACAAAGCCAACACCAAGACACACCUCUGCCAACCAGCACCUGGGGCUGGCUGGGGCUGGAGAGCCAGAGACCCCGUGGAGGCCCCUGAGGAUCAGAAGGGGCUUCAUUCUUCUCCUGGACAUGGACUAAGACAGCACUGGCCAAGGCAGUGGCACCCCAAGGCCUGACCAUGGCUGGGACAGACACCAUGAGCACACCCCCUCCUCCUGAGCGUGUCCAGUCUGGCGUUCAGUAGCAUGCCCUCGGGCAGCAGCCGUCAGCACUCCCUACCUUGAGUUGCUUUCCCACCCUGCAAUGUGGGACUUUCAGCAAAAGCCACGUUGGCCUUCUCUCAGAAGGUCAGUGCCAGCUCAAGUGCAGGGGUGGGUCCCUCUCCACCUCCUUUAAUGCCACCUUUCCCACAAUUCCAGGGGCUCCCCAUGCUGCAUGCAGGGGGGUCUCUGUCUCCAUGCUGCCCCCUUGGUCGGGUCUCACUUUCCUGUGCCUUUUGCUGUGUUGGGAAUGGGUCUGGGUGUCAGUGCCGCUCAUGCUUAGAAACCACUGAAAGCCCCCAAUAAAGCAUCCAGGAGGAGCAGUUGCUUUUCGUUUCUAAA